AAAGCCUCUAAGCAUCAGGUAACAUCAAAUCGUACCCCAAACCGACACAGGUGGUCAGGUAGAGAAUACCAAGGCGCUUGAGAGAACUCGGGUGAAGGAACUAGGCAAAAUGGUGCCGUAACUUCGGGAGAAGGCACGCUGAUAUGUAGGUGAAGCGACUUGCUCGUGGAGCUGAAAUCAGUCGAAGAUACCAGCUGGCUGCAACUGUUUAUUAAAAACACAGCACUGUGCAAACACGAAAGUGGACGUAUACGGUGUGACGCCUGCCCGGUGCCGGAAGGUUAAUUGAUGGGGUCAGCGCAAGCGAAGCUCUUGAUCGAAGCCCCGGUAAACGGCGGCCGUAACUAUAACGGUCCUAAGGUAGCGAAAUUCCUUGUCGGGUAAGUUCCGACCUGCACGAAUGGCGUAAUGAUGGCCAGGCUGUCUCCACCCGAGACUCAGUGAAAUUGAACUCGCUGUGAAGAUGCAGUGUACCCGCGGCAAGACGGAAAGACCCCGUGAACCUUUACUAUAGCUUGACACUGAACAUUGAGCCUUGAUGUGUAGGAUAGGUGGGAGGCUUAGAAGUGUGGACGCCAGUCUGCAUGGAGCCGACCUUGAAAUACCACCCUUUAAUGUUUGAUGUUCUAACGUUGACCCGUAAUCCGGGUUGCGGACAGUGUCUGGUGGGUAGUUUGACUGGGGCGGUCUCCUCCUAAAGAGUAACGGAGGAGCACGAAGGUUGGCUAAUCCUGGUCGGACAUCAGGAGGUUAGUGCAAUGGCAUAAGCCAGCUUGACUGCGAGCGUGACGGCGCGAGCAGGUGCGAAAGCAGGUCAUAGUGAUCCGGUGGUUCUGAAUGGAAGGGCCAUCGCUCAACGGAUAAAAGGUACUCCGGGGAUAACAGGCUGAUACCGCCCAAGAGUUCAUAUCGACGGCGGUGUUUGGCACCUCGAUGUCGGCUCAUCACAUCCUGGGGCUGAAGUAGGUCCCAAGGGUAUGGCUGUUCGCCAUUUAAAGUGGUACGCGAGCUGGGUUUAGAACGUCGUGAGACAGUUCGGUCCCUAUCUGCCGUGGGCGCUGGAGAACUGAGGGGGGCUGCUCCUAGUACGAGAGGACCGGAGUGGACGCAUCACUGGUGUUCGGGUUGUCAUGCCAAUGGCACUGCCCGGUAGCUAAAUGCGGAAGAGAUAAGUGCUGAAAGCAUCUAAGCACGAAACUUGCC
rnacentral:rRNA from 1 species